GCGGAAGUGGCGGAAUUGGUAGACGCGCUAGACUCAGGAUCUAGUGGUGGUGACAUCGUGGAGGUUCGAGUCCUCUCUUCCGCA
rnacentral:tRNA from 1 species